rnacentral:rRNA from 1 species
ACUGGGACCGAGACACGGCCCAGACUCCUACGGGAGGCAGCAGUGGGGAAUUUUCCGCAAUGGGCGCAAGCCUGACGGAGCAAUACCGCGUGAGGGAGGAAGGCCUUUGGGUUGUAAACCUCUUUUCUUAAGGAAGAAGAUCUGGCGGUACUUAAGGAAUCAGCAUCGGCUAACUCCGUGCCAGCAGCCGCGGUAAUACGGAGGAUGCAAGCGUUAUCCGGAAUUAUUGGGCGUAAAGCGUCCGCAGGCGGCAUUAUAAGUCUGCUGUCAAAGACCGCAGCUCAACUGCGGAAAGGCAGUGGAAACUGUAAAGCUAGAGUACGGUAGGGGUAGAGGGAAUUCCCAGUGUAGCGGUGAAAUGCGUAGAUAUUGGGAAGAACACCAGUGGCGAAAGCGCUCUACUGGGCCGUAACUGACGCUCAGGGACGAAAGCUAGGGGAGCGAAAGGGAUUAGAUACCCCUGUAGUCCUAGCUGUAAACGAUGGAUACUAGGCGUAGCUUGUAUCGACCCGAGCUGUGCCGAAGCUAACGCGUUAAGUAUCCCGCCUGGGGAGUACGCACGCAAGUGUGAAACUCAAAGGAAUUGACGGGGGCCCGCACAAGCGGUGGAGUAUGUGGUUUAAUUCGAUGCAACGCGAAGAACCUUACCAGGGCUUGACAUGUCGCGAAUCUAAAGGAAACUUUAGAGUGCCUU